GACGAACGCUGGCGGCGUGCUUAACACAUGCAAGUCGAGCGAUGAAGUUUCUUCGGAAAUGGAUUAGCGGCGAACGGGUGAGGAACACGUGAAGAAUCUGCCCUCCACUUUGGGAUAACACAGGGAAACCUGUGCUAAUACCGAAUAUUGAAACAUAAGUGGCAUCACUGAGUUUUGAAAGAAUUUCGGUGGAGGAUGACUUCGCGGCCUAUCAGCUAGUUGGUGAGGUAAUGGCUCACCAAGGUAACGACGGGUAGCCGGCCUGAGAGGGCGACCGGCCACACUGGGACUGAGACACGGCCCAGACUCCUACGGGAGGCAGCAGUGGGGAAUAUUGCACAAUGGGCGCAAGCCUGAUGCAGCGACGCCGCGUGAGGGAUGACGGCCUUCGGGUUGUAAACCUCUUUCAGCACCGACGAAGCGCAAGUGACGGUAGGUGCAGAAGAAGGACCGGCCAACUACGUGCCAGCCGCCGCGGUAA
rnacentral:rRNA from 1 species